CAUGAACACACGCCACUCGUAAACUGAACCUCUGCAGUCUUUCUGGGUGACCUCCAUUCUCUCCAUUCCAGCCAAAGCUGCCAAGCUUGGUAACUGUCUACCUGGGGCUCUCCUUUGAGCUGAAGAUGGAAAUGUUGGUCUGUAACCAUGUCUUCACGGGCUGUAGGUCCAGACAUCACCUACUUCCCAGCAUCCAUGUGCUUUUCUGUGCCCUCAGCCCUUUUCUGAGGGAUUCUGACUUUCCUGGAUGGGAUUCUCAUUUCCCAUUUCCCCAGAGUUCACAGGAGCCAUCCAACUAGGUGGGAGUACCAAUCCCCCAGCUUCAGAAUCAGGCUUCUGCUGACACUCUGGUCAGUGACAUCUAUGCCCAGGAUUGCUUCAGGACAGGGUUUGGGCUGUCAUAUGAACCAAAGAGGACUUCCCUGGUGGCUCAGACAGUCAAAGAGCCUGCCUCCAAUCGGGAGACCUGGGUUCGAUCCCUGGGUUGGGAAGAUCCCUUGGAGAAGGAAAUGGCGACCCAGUCCAGUACUCUCACCUUGAAAAUCCCAUGGACAGAGGAGCCCGGUAGGCUACCAUCCACGGGGUCACAAAGAGUCCGACACAACUGAGCGACUUCACUUUCACUUUCUUUCAUGAACCAAAGAUGGGAGAGGGGCUUGGAAACCUGUCCUCUCCUUAUUACCACAAAGGGAAGCCAGCCUCGCUUGAAACCACGUGGAAGAAACCAUCCUCAAUGACACUCGGGCACCAAAGCAAACCAAACCUGAAGAGCCUCCGGCUUCUGGUCUCUGGUCUCCUGAGCUGGCCAGUCAUCCUUUAUUGUUGGAUGUCUGAGGACACUCUCUUCUGGACUUGGCACCAUCCUUCUGCAGGGAGCCUUCUAUCCUUUCUCACUAGCCAGAAUACACUUUUUAAAGCAUUGAGUUUCUGAACGUUGGUCCUGACUCAGCAGGUCGGCAGGAUCAUUAGUGGGUUUAAAGGAAAUCAGUCCUGAGUAUUCACUGGAAAGACCGAUGCUAAAGCUGAAACUCCAAUACUUUGGCCACCUGACGUGACGAGCUGACUCAUUGGAAAAGACCCUGAUGCUGGGAAAGAUUGAGGGCAGGAGGAGAAGGGGACGACAGAGGAUGAGAUGGUUGGAUGGCAUCACCGAUUCAAUGGACGUGAGUUUGAGUAAACUCCAGGAGUUGGGUACGGACAGGGAGGCCUGGCGUGCUGCCGUUCACGGGGUCACAAAGAGUUGGACACGAUUGAGUGACUGAACUGAACUGAUACUAGUAUUUUAGGUCAUACCCAUAUUUUAUUUUUUAGUAAAAUGGUUUAGCAAAGAACAGACUACAUGAAAAUAUUAGGGUGCAUGUAUACAGCACAGUGAGUUUUUCCUCAUAAUUUUUUGAGUCAUGCUAUGAAAUGGGGAAUUGCAGUGGGCCCCAGGCAAAAAGUCUGGAAACCUUUCAUUUAGAGCACACAUUUUGAUUGCACUGCUCUCCUGCUUAAAAUAUCUUGAUGCUUCUGUCU
rnacentral:lncRNA from 1 species